UGGAUUGCAGCCGCUGCGGGUUACGCCUAUAUGACGGUUGCCGGCUUCCAGCCGGCUAUGGCGAUAAACGGUGGCGUUGAAUAGACGCAGCGGACCCGGGGGCAGUACCCGGCGGCUCCACCACCGCAGCUGACCGGACGUCGAUGCGCGUGAAGCGUGCCGCCGAUCGGCUCAGCUUCGAUGACGGGGCCGAACUAGGAUCGACGUGUGUUGAAGGGCGCUGUCUUUCGCUCGGAAUGGGACCACCGCAACGGCCCAUUACACAAGUGCCAACGAUAACGAAGCACUCGCGAUUGCGGCGUAACUGAGGGCCUAACGGCCUGAAGUUAUUCCAAGAUUACGCGGUUGGACCCACCGGGCAACAGAAGGGAUUCCAGCGGUACGGGGAGCACCGGGCAACAGAAGCUCCCCACC
rnacentral:tmRNA from 1 species